rnacentral:misc_RNA from 1 species
AGGCUUGAUCGGGUAACACGCCGACCCCCCCGCGGCUCCUCCUCGUAGGUGUCGGCGGAGAGGGUCCGUGUAUGCCGUCUCGCGAUGGGACGACGCGUGAGUAGCUCUUCGGACGUGAUCCCCGAGCAGGCUCCAUGCUCCUCGCAUCGAACUGCCUCGGCCAGUCCGAUUCACUUGUGGGUUCGCCUCGGCCAUUGUCAGGGUCGUUCGCGGCUGCACCGUGGGUACCUGUGCUCGAUAUCCGAAGAGGGUAGUCGGAAGAAAGAUCACAUUCAGCGUGUCGGUACCCUCGAUUCACCCCUCAGUCACUUGGGAGUUGGUGGAUGCCAUCGUGCGGGCAUCCGACGUUCCCCAUCGGGAAGGCCGACCUCCAUUUCGGGCUCUCCUUCUCGGGACGGCGCGUCGGUGUUGCCUUGCUUCGCUCUCGGGUGCGGUGGUUAAGUUGGCUAUGGCAUCGGUCCCCGCGGCCGGUGUGAUCUCGAAGCGCUUUUGCGUGACACUCGUGCUUUUCUUAGGGGCUCUCUCGGAGCUAUGGCGCUCCGUGAACGUCCCGGGGAGGUAUCGAGGUGUACGGAGGAAUGUUACCUGGUUGAUCCUGCC